rnacentral:rRNA from 1 species
UACGGGGGGGGCAAGCGUUGUUCGGAAUUACUGGGCGUAAAGGGCUCGUAGGCGGCCAACUAAGUCAGACGUGAAAUCCCUCGGCUUAACCGGGGAACUGCGUCUGAUACUGGAUGGCUUGAGAUUGGGAGAGGGAUGCGGAAUUCCAGGUGUAGCGGUGAAAUGCGUAGAUAUCUGGAGGAACACCGGUGGCGAAGGCGACAUCCUGGACCGGUAUUGACGCUGAGGCGCGACAGCGUGGGGAGCAAACAGG